GUUCGGUCUCUAUCUAUCGUGGGCGUAUGAAAUUUGCGUGGCUCUGACACUAGUACGAGAGGACCGUGUUGGACUGACCUCUGGUUUACCGGUUGUGCCGCCAGGUGCAUUGCCGGGUAUCUAAGUCGGGAUUGGAUAAGUGCUGAAAGCAUCUAAGUACGAAGCCAGCCACAAGAUUAGAUUUCUUUCAGGGUCGUUGUAGACUACAACGUUGAUAGGACGCAGGUGUACAGGUGGUAACAUCACAGCCGAGCGUUACUAAUUGCCCGAUGACUUUCUUU
rnacentral:rRNA from 1 species